GACGAACGCUGGCGGCGUGCCUAAUACAUGCAAGUAGAACGCUGAAGACUUUAGCUUGCUAAAGUUGGAAGAGUUGCGAACGGGUGAGUAACGCGUAGGUAACCUGCCUACUAGCGGGGGAUAACGAUUGGAAACGAUAGCUAAUACCGCAUAACAGCUUUUAACUCAUGUUAGGAGCUUGAAAGGUGCAAUUGCAUCACUAGUAGAUGGACCUGCGUUGUAUUAGCUAGUUGGUGAGGUAACGGCUCACCAAGGCGACGAUACAUAGCCGACCUGAGAGGGUGAUCGGCCACACUGGGACUGAGACACGGCCCAGACUCCUACGGGAGGCAGCAGUAGGGAAUCUUCGGCAAUGGGGGCAACCCUGACCGAGCAACGCCGCGUGAGUGAAGAAGGUUUUCGGAUCGUAAAGCUCUGUUGUAAGAGAAGAACGUGUGUGAGAGUGGAAAGUUCACACAGUGACGGUAACUUACCAGAAAGGGACGGCUAACUACGUGCCAGCCGCCGCGGUAA
rnacentral:rRNA from 1 species